rnacentral:rRNA from 1 species
ACGGGGAUAACAUUCCGAAAGGGGUGCUAAUACCGGAUACGAUGAGAGAGUCAUAAGGCUUUCUCAUGAAAGGCGACCUCUUCUUGAAAGUUGCCGCUCAUUGAUGAGCCCGCGUCCCAUUAGCUUGUUGGUAGGGUAACGGCUUACCAAGGCUGAGAUGGGUAGCUGGUCUGAGAGGAUGAUCAGCCACACUGGAACUGAGAUAUGGUCCAG